AUUGAACGCUGGCGGCAGGCCUAACACGUGCAAGUCGAACGGUAACAGGAAGAAGCUUGCUUCUUUGCUGACGAGUGGCGGACGGGUGAGUAAUGUCUGGGAAACUGCCUGAUGGAGGGGGAUAACUACUGGAAACGGUAGCUAAUACCGCAUAACGUCGCAAGACCAAAGAGGGGGACCUUCGGGCCUCUUGCCAUCGGAUGUGCCCAGAUGGGAUUAGCUAGUAGGUGGGGUAACGGCUCACCUAGGCGACGAUCCCUAGCUGGUCUGAGAGGAUGACCGGCCACACUGGAACUGGAACACGGUCCAGACUCCUACGGGAGGCAGCAGUGGGGAAUAUUGCACAAUGGGCGCAAGCCUGAUGCAGCCAUGCCGCGUGUAUGAAGAAGGCCUUCGGGUUGUAAAGUACUUUCAGCGGGGAGGAAGGGAGUAAGGUUAAUACCUUUACUCAUUGACGUUACCCGCAGAAGAAGCACCGGCUAACUCCGUG
rnacentral:rRNA from 1 species